UACGUAGGGUGCGAGCGUUGUCCGGAAUUACUGGGCGUAAAGAGCUCGUAGGCGGUUUGUCGCGUUGUUCGUGAAAACUCACAGCUUAACUGUGGGCGUGCGGGCGAUACGGGCAGACUGGAGUACUGCAGGGGAGACUGGAAUUCCUGGUGUAGCGGUGGAAUGCGCAGAUAUCAGGAGGAACACCGGUGGCGAAGGCGGGUCUCUGGGCCGUAACUGACGCUGAGGAGCGAAAGCGUGGGGAGCGAACAGG
rnacentral:rRNA from 1 species